AGCGAACGCUGGCGGCAGGCUUAACACAUGCAAGUCGAGCGGGCGUAGCAAUACGUCAGCGGCGCACGGGUGAGUAACGCGUGGAUAUCUGCCUUUUGGUUCGGAAUAACCCCGGGAAACUGGGGCUAAUACCGGAUGGUUCCUACGGGAUAAAGAUUUAUCGCCAAAAGAUGAGUCCGCGUACGAUUAGCUAGUUGGUGAGGUAAUGGCUCACCAAGGCGACGAUCGUUAGCUGGUCUGAGAGGACGAUCAGCCACACUGGGACUGAGACACGGCCCAGACUCCUACGGGAGGCAGCAGUGGGGAAUAUUGGACAAUGGGGGCAACCCUGAUCCAGCCAUGCCGCGUGAGUGAUGAAGGCCUUCGGGUUGUAAAGCUCUUUUGGCGGGGACGAUGAUGACGGUACCCGCAGAAUAAGCCCCGGCUAACUUCGUGCCAGCCGCCGCUGUAAUAC
rnacentral:rRNA from 1 species